UACGUAGGGGGCAAGCGUUGUCCGGAUUUAUUGGGCGUAAAGAGCGUGUAGGCGGCUUGGUAGGUCUCGCGUCAAAACCUGAGGCUCAACCUCAGUUCGCGUGGGAAACCACCUAGCUAGAGUCCGGAAGAGGAGAACGGAAUUCCCAGUGUAGCGGUGAAAUGCGCAGAUAUCAGGAGGAACACCGGUGGCGAAGGCGGGUCUCUGGGCCGAUACUGACGCUGAGGAGCGAAAGCGUGGGGAGCGAACAGG
rnacentral:rRNA from 1 species